GACGAACGCUGGCGGCGUGCUUAACACAUGCAAGUCGAACGGUAAGGCCCCAGCUUGCUGGGGUACACGAGUGGCGAACGGGUGAGUAACACGUGGGUGACCUGCCCCGCACUUCGGGAUAAGCCUGGGAAACUGGGUCUAAUACCGGAUAGGACCGCACCGUGAGGGUGGGGUGGAAAGUUUUGCGGUGUGGGAUGGGCCCGCGGCCUAUCAGCUUGUUGGUGGGGUAAUGGCCUACCAAGGCGGCGACGGGUAGCCGGCCUGAGAGGGUGGACGGCCACAUUGGGACUGAGACACGGCCCAGACUCCUACGGGAGGCAGCAGUGGGGAAUAUUGCACAAUGGGCGGAAGCCUGAUGCAGCGACGCCGCGUGGGGGAUGACGGCCUUCGGGUUGUAAACUCCUUUCACCAUCGACGAAGGUUUUCUGACGGUAGAUGGAGAAGAAGCACCGGCUAACUACGUG
rnacentral:rRNA from 1 species